ACUGUAACAAUUAUUUUAUAUACAAAAAAUAUAUAAAAAGAUAAAACGUACAAAACUUACUUAAACUAUCUACCAUUUUGAUUCGACUGUCCGACCUUUCAAAAUUUAGUUUUACUAUCUAAUCUUUCAAUUUAUUUGAUUUCAAUCAGUCGACACUACUCCAACUUCAGAAUUUCAAUGCAUCACUUAUCUUUUUACAAGUUUAGUUCGUAUUUCGCAACUAUAAAUUCAUUAAAGUAAAAAGUUAGCUUGAAAUUUGAAGUUAAAUCGAACAUAUUGAAAAGAUGAAAUAGUAAAAUAAAAUUUUGAAACAUCGGAUCGUCAAUUCAAAGUAGUCUGUAAUUCUGAUAAGUUCUGUAUGUUUUUACCAAGUAAAAACUGCCCAAAUAUUUCCACCUUAGAUACAAACUCCAUAAACAAAUGUUUUCUUCAUCAUUCUUUAA
rnacentral:lncRNA from 1 species